rnacentral:lncRNA from 1 species
UCAAGCGAUUCUCCUGCCCCAGCCUCCCGAGUAGCUGGGACUACAACAGGUGGGCGCCACCAUGCCCAGCUAAUUUUUGUAUUUUUUGUACAGACUGGGUGUCACUAUGUUGCCCAGGCUGGUCUCCAACUCAUUAGCUCAAGCUAUCCCCGCUACUCAGCCUCCCAAAGUGCUGAGAAUAGAGGCCUGAACCAGUGCACCCGGCCAUAGAUAUUUUGUUCUCUGAUUUAUACCAAGCAAGUCGGAGGCACAUAGUUGGAACUCGAAUAUUUUCCGUGUGAAUAAAUGUCAUUUUUUUUUAAUUGAGAGGGAGUCUUGCUCUGUUGCCCAGGCUGGAGUGCAGUGGAGCGAUCUUGUCUCACAACAACCUCCACCACCCAGGUUGAAGCGAUUCUCAUGCCUCAGCUUCCCAAGUAGCUGGGACUACAGGUGCGUGCCACCAAGCCUGGCUAGUUUUUUUGUAUUUUUAGUAGAGAUGGGGUUUCGCCAUGUUGGCCGGGAUGGUCUUGAACUCCUGACCUCAGGUGAUCUGCCCACCUGAGCCUCCUGAAGUGCUGGGAUUACAGGUGUGAGACACCUCACCUAGCCUAAAUGUCAUUUUAUCAGCAGAACAAAAUAAUUAAAUCCCGAGGCCUGGAUUGGUGGCUUAUGCCUUUAAUCCCAGCACUUUGGGAGGCAGAGGUGAGCAGAUUGCUUGAGGCCACGGGUUCGAGACCAGCCUGGCCAACAUGGUAAAACCCUGUCUCUGCUAAAAAUAUAAAAAUUAGGGCCAGGCACAGUGGCUCACGCCUGUAAUCCCACCACUCUGGGAGGCCGAGGUGGGUGGAUCACAAGGUCAAAAGAUCAAGACCAGGUGGCUCACGCCUGUAAUCCCAGCACUAUGGGAGGUCAAGGCGGGCGGAUCACGAGGUCAGGAGAUCGAGACCAUCCUGGCUAAUAUGGUGAAACCCCGUCUCUACUAAAAAUACAAAAAAUUAGCCGGGCGUGGUGGCGGGCGCCUGUAGUCCCAGCUACUCAGGAGGCUGAGGCAGGAGAAUGGCGUGAACCCGGGAGGCAGAGAUGAGAUUGCAGUGAGCCGAGAGCACGCCACUGCACUCCAGCCUGGGCAACAGAAACUCCAUCUCAAAAAAAAAAAAAAAAAAAAAGAGAGAUCGAGACCAUCCUGGCCAACAUGGUAAAACUUCGUCUCUACUAAAAAUACAAAAUUAGCUGGGUGUGGUGGCACACACCUAUAGUCCUAGCUACUCAGGAAGCUGAGGCAGGAGAAUCUCUUGAACCCAGGAGGCAAAGGUUGCAGUGAGCUGAGAUGGCACUAAUGCACUCCAGCCUGGGUGAGAGUAAGACACCGUCUCAAAAAUAAAUAAAUAAAUAAAUUAGCCAGGCACGGUGGCGAGCACCUGUAAUCCCAGCUACUCGGGAGGUUGAGGCAGGAGAAUCGCUUGAACCAGGCGGCAGAGGUUGCAGUGAGCCGAGAUUGCGCCACUGCACUCCAGCCUGGGCUACAUAGUGAGACUCCAUCUCAAAAAAAAAAAAAAAAAAAAAUUAACUGGGCAUGGUGGUGCACGCCUGUAAUCCCAGCUACUUGGGAGGCAGAAGCAGGUAAAUCACUUGAACCCGGAUACGGAGGUUGCAGUGAGCAGAGAUCGUGCCGCUGCACUCCAGCCUGGCCGACAGAGUGAGACUCCAUCUCAAAAAAGAAAAAGAAAAAAAAUUAGCCAGGCAUGGUGGCAUUCCCCUGUAAUCCCAGCUACUUGGGAAGCUGGGUCAGCAGAAUCACUUGAACCCAGGAAGCAGAGGUUGCAGUGAGCCAAGAUCACGCCACUGCACUCCUGCCUGGGUGAGGGAGUGAGACUCUGUCUCAAAACAACAACAACAACAAAAAAAACUUAAUACUGCUGCAGUCUUCAGAUAUUAUCUUUCUACAAAUCCUCAUAAUGUGAGGUUUUUUUUGUUUUAUUUUAUUUUGUUUUUGAGAUGGAGUGUCUCUGUCACCCAGACUGGAGUGCAAUGGCAGGAUCUCGG